UCUCUGCCAGCCUUCACCAAGAACUGUGCUGAAAGUUUCACUCCAGGAGAACACAUGAACAUAGAUGUACAGUUGUUCUCGACCAAGGUUCAUUGUCCAUGCAGUAUAUCGCAUCCAAGCCGGACAAAUUUGGGAUCAAGUUCUGGAUGGCCACGGAUUUGGAGACCAAAUACGUCUGCAACGUGUCCCCUAACUUGGGAAAGGACCCCAGUCAUCAGAAAAGGGAGAGGCUGGCAGAGAACAUGGUCAUGAGUCUGAUGGAGCCAUUUCUGGAUGACGGGAGAAAUGUCACAAUGGACAAUUUCUUCACCUCACUGGCACUGUCACACAGACUGCUUCAGCGCAAAACAACACUACUGAGCAGGGAAUAAAGUUUGGUAUGAACUUCCUCCAAUUGCAAAGGACACUGCACAGCAAGAGGAAUUCUCCGCGUCAGUGCUUAAAAGUGGCAGUGUCUCCUUGACAAUUUAUGCACCUAAAAAAACAAGAUUGUGUGUGUUCUGAGUUCCUUGGACCAAGAUGUGGCGAUCUGUGAAGGCAGAAAGAGGAAACCCAACACGAUAACAGACUAUAACCACAUGAAGUGUGGUGUAAAUGUGUUGGACCAAAUGGCGCGCAUGUAUUCCGUAAGAGCAGCAACAUGCAGGUGGCCAGUAGCUGUAUUUUACAACAUGCUGGACCUGGUGAGGGCAGGCAGUGAUGUUGGACGAGAAGGUCUGGCUCGCAACUUCCGCUUUAAUUCAUUCCUAAGGUGUUCUGUCGGGUUGAGGUCAGGGCUCUGUGCAUUCCUACGUUCUGUACAAGGCAUGUACAGGGUGGGAAGGAAAAAGAAGAUUAUUUUUGAGUCAUCCAGCCAAGGAACUCCAUUGCCAAUUUAUGCCACAAAAGGCAAUGGGGACAGGGGAAGGCUGCUGCUGUGCCAGGACUUGUAUGGACAACUCAGUGUCAGGAUCUGAGACGACAGGGAGACGAUGCUACCAACUGGCUAUAGUGUGUCUUGGGAUAUUGUGUUUUCUCCUGCUGACGACUGUCAUAGUGCUGUUUGCUUACAGUAAGUUUGUUAAUAAUGCUUUAAUAAUAGCCCCUAUCAGGUGCAAUGGUGCUGCAGUGUUUAGCACUGUUGCCCCACAUCUCUGGGAUCGGGGUUUGAGUCUCUGCCAUUGCUCCAUGUGUGUGGAGUUUGCAUGUUCCCCCCAUGUUGUCGUGGGGCUUCCUUUAGGUACUGCAGUGUCCCUCCACAGUCCGCAAACAUGCUAAAAGUAACUGGAGUCAUCCAAUUCUCUGUAGGCGUGCAUGUGUGACUGUGCCCUGCAAUGGGUUGGUGUCAGUGGGGAAACAACUGCACACAAGGCCCUGGGGCAAAACACCGAUCGGACCUGCCCUCCCCCUCCGCGCACGCAUACGUAUAUGUGGCGGCGCUGAAAUGAGUUUUAAAGUAUGGCUGCAAGGGCACAAGAAACUUAACGAGAGAAUUCAACUGUUCCUGUAACUGUAACAAAACAAACAAAACAAAGUUUUAGUGGCUAAAUUGCAUUUUCUAUGCCUUUUCAGAUAGGAGGACAUUUAUUUGGCUGUGCCUAGAAAACAACGUUGUUACCAGUAGAGACCGUCAGAGUUUUACCAAGGACAGAAAUUCCACCUCUAGCUGCCUGCCCAUCUCAUCCAUUUCUGUUGCAAAAAUGACAGUGGAUUGUCUAAGUGAAUAGGGUAUAGGUUAAUUAGGUCUUUCUCAUUCUCAUAAUGCGUCCAUGCAUCCGGGUAUAGCCCAUUUAAAUGUCAUGUAGCCUAACUUUUUAUACAAUUUAGACAGCACAGAAUCAUAGUUUUAUUUAUACAACCACAUAUUUCCCACAUCUUGACAUCAGUGAUGCAGUGAAGAUACAGUCUCUUUAUUUCUUGAACCCACCCUCCCCAUUAAUCCGGGCUUGGGACCGGCACCUGGUUGAGCUGGCUUGCUCCCUUAAGUGGCUGGGUUAGGCUAAACUAUAUAUGUAUUUACAAAGACUACAAUAAAACAUCCCGAAAUAUGUAGUCUAACAAAAUGCAGUUUACAGAAGUUAGCCUACCUGGCGAAAUUUCAAACAAACAAAUAAAAAGGCCCACGGCAUAUAAUCAGGCUAUAUCCAACAAAAGCUGUUUUUAAGAACAUAGCCUACUCUGAAAAAUUGAAUUACUUUCUGGACCAACAUACACAACAAUCGUCAGACGGACGAGAACAUUAGGCAGCCUUUAGAUCCUACCCAUCAUUCACUGCAGUUUUUUUUGCAAAUUCCUCAAACAGAAAUCCAUUAAAUACAAAAGGAACAGCUUAGCUUGGCUUCAAAACAUUACUAUGUAUUAUAUUUUAAGUUUGUUGUAGGGACUUUAAAGGUUUUUUUAUAAUUAAAAAAAAUUAUCCCAUACACCCACCAUAAUAAGAAUGUAUACGAAAAAUGACAGAUAUAUAAACUCACAAGUUACAAUAAAAGUAUAUAUCAUAUGUUGUAGUUUGGGAUAAAUUAUCUCAGUUGUGUGUGUAUUUAGUUUAUGGCUCUUUUGGCUUGGGGGAGGGCCCUAUAUGAUCCACGGAAGGUCCUGGGCCCAGGCCCUCCCAAAAUGUGUAGAUUCCAGGAUGGGCUCCGGACCAGCUGUGAUCCUGAACAGAAAAUGUAUGGAUAGUUGCCAUCGGCUCUCAGUGUGGGUGGCAUGAAUUAUCAUAACGCAGUGUUAUGUCUAGGUGUUGAUUCGCCACCGGAAAACCAUUGUAACUGGUGAAUAAUGACAAAAUACGGUUCUUUAUCUCAAAAGUGUGUGUCCAAGGUUCCAAAAGAACAGGUUGAGGUAAACGGGAAAGGUAUAUGUGUCGGGCAUGAGACGACAUUAAAGAAAAGAACAGAACAAAACAACCCUACCAUUUAAUUUAACCUAUCCCUUUGAUUGAAAACAAAAAAACAAAAUCCAACUAUCUGUGACUGUAUAACAAAAACCUACAGGAGGUGGUGUCCGCCUCUAAUCUAGUGUGUCUAACAUGAUCAAGUUCUGCACACUGCAUAAUGUACCUGUACGAGAACAAAUGGAAUCAAAUGGAGCAAAUUGAGAAGUACUUUAGUUCAAACCACACCACAGAUCGUGAAUGAGGAAAUCGAUAAACAAAACCUAAUAUGACUCUAUACUGACCCAACCUGACUAAAAUAAACAGGGUGAGCUGUAUACAUCAGAGGAGCGACUACCAGUAGAAGAAUAGAAGCACAACAGCAGCAAUAACAAACAAACAUCCCACGACCCAGAGAAUCUCUCGAGAGACACUUCAGCCGGGACUUUUAAAGCCUCGUGACAGGAACUCUGGGAGCAGCGUCUCCAAUCGCCAGGCAUGCCGGGCAUUCAACCAAUCACGUCAGUAGGUAGGCGGGAUAGGCAGCUGUGUUAUCAAGCUGUAGGCGGGAUAUCAGAAUGCUCGUCCAUCAGCUGGCAAGAUCCGUCUGGGUCCUACAGAGAGCGGUAAAGGAGAGAAGAAACACAAAAACAGACGCACCACUGCACGUAACACGCUGUAUUCUGGGGAGAUAUAUGUGACUCAGGAGGUCAGGGUGCUGCGCCUGGGAG